AGUAACACGUGGAUAACCUACCUAUAAGACUGGGAUAACUUCGGGAAACCGGAGCUAAUACCGGAUAAUAUAUUGAACCGCAUGGUUCAAUAGUGAAAGACGGUUUUGCUGUCACUUAUAGAUGGAUCCGCGCCGCAUUAGCUAGUUGGUAAGGUAACAGCUUACCAAGGCAACGAUGCGUAGCCGACCUGAGAGGGUGAUCGGCCACACUGGAACUGAGACAUGGUCCAG
rnacentral:rRNA from 1 species